ACGGGUGAGUAACGCGUAGGUAACCUGCCUGGUAGUGGGGGAUAACUAUUGGAAACGAUAGCUAAUACCGCAUAAUAGCAGUUGUUGCAUGACAGCUGUUUGAAAGGUGCAAUUGCACCACUACCAGAUGGACCUGCGUUGUAUUAGCUAGUUGGUGAGGUAACGGCCCACCAAGACGAUGAUGCGUAGCCGGCCUGAGAGGGUGAACGGCCACAUUGGGACUGAGACACGGCCCAGACUCCUACGGGAGGCAGCAGUAGGGAAUUUUCGGCAAUGGGGGAAACCCUGACCGAGCAACGCCGCGUGAGUGAUGACGGCCUUCGGGUUGUAAAGCUCUGUUGUAAGGGAAGAACGGUAGAUAGAGAAUAUCUAAGUGACGGUACCUUACCAGAAAGCCACGGCUAACUACGUGCCAGCAGCCGCGGUAAUACGUAGGUGGCGAGCGUUAUCCGGA
rnacentral:rRNA from 1 species